rnacentral:rRNA from 1 species
UGGGGAAUUUUGGACAAUGGGGGAAACCCUGAUCCAGCCAUCCCGCGUGUGCGAUGAGGCCUUCGGGUUGUAAAGCACUUUUGGCAGGAAAGAAACGUCGCGGGUUAAUACCCCGCGAAACUGACGGUACCUGCAGAAUAAGCACCGGCUAACUACGUGCCAGCAGCCGCGGUAAUACGUAGGGUGCAAGCGUUAAUCGGAAUUACUGGGCGUAAAGCGUGCGCAGGCGGUUCGGAAAGAAAGAUGUGAAAUCCCAGAGCUUAACUUUGGAACUGCAUUUUUAACUACCGGGCUAGAGUGUGUCAGAGGGAGGUGGAAUUCCGCGUGUAGCAGUGAAAUGCGUAGAUAUGCGGAGGAACACCGAUGGCGAAGGCAGCCUCCUGGGAUAACACUGACGCUCAUGCACGAAAGCGUGGGGAGCAAACAGGAUUAGAUACCCUGGUAGUCCACGCCCUAAACGAUGUCAACUAGCUGUUGGGGCCUUCGGGCCUUGGUAGCGCAGCUAACGCGUGAAGUUGACCGCCUGGGGAGUACGGUCGCAAGAUUAAAACUCAAAGGAAUU